AUCUGCAUGUGACAAGAAGACACCCUCAUCUGAAGGGCAGUUUUUCCAAGGUGAGGCUCAUCCAUUGCUCUUGGAUGGUCUCAUCCUGGCUGAGCAAAACUUGGCUGCAUAAUUUAUAGUGGUUGAGGACUAUAUUUGAGCUAUCCUUUG
rnacentral:snRNA from 1 species